AUUGAACGCUGGCGGCAGGCCUAACACAUGCAAGUCGAGCGAGCGGCGGACGGGUGCGUAAUGUCUGGGAAACUGCCUGAUGGAGGGGGAUAACUACUGGAAACGGUAGCUAAUACCGCAUACCCUACUAUGUGCCCAGAUGGGAGUAGCUAGUAGGUGGGGUAACGGCUCACCUAGGCGACGAUCCCUAGCUGGUCUGAGCGGAGGACCAGCAACACGGGAAAUGAGAAACGGCCCAGACUCCGACGGGAGGAAGCAGUGGGGAAUAUUGCACAAUGGGCGCAAGCCGGAUGCAGCCAGGCCGCGUGUGUGAAGAAGGCCUUCGGGUUGUAAAGCACUUUCAGCGGGGAGGCGUUACCCGCAGAAGAAGCACCGGCUAACUCCGUGCCAGCAGCCGCGGUAAUAC
rnacentral:rRNA from 1 species